UCACUGGGUCUAGCCUCCUAAGGGAGAUCGCCUCUUGGUUGAAGCCUGCUUACUGAGAAGGAGUGUUCUGUAGCUAGAGACCCUAUAAUCAGCUGGCUGCACAUAUCAAGGCCUUUUGGUCAAUGUUUUGUUCAAACCAUGGGGAUGAAUGUAAGUGGCAUCAGUAUUAUUUGUUUCCAGUAAAAAUGUUGCCUGUGCAAAAGUGGAAUUGCCAGAUCAUGGCCUGAACCAAUAGUGGAGCACCCAGGUUGGAUGGCAUAGAUGACCCAGAGAGCUCAGGCGCAAGCAAUGUACCUGAGUGACUGGAGAGACAGGAUCCACCUCUCCUCACACUCACUUAAGGAUUAGCAGCAUAGGACGCACCAUUACUCUGGAUAGAAAUCAUGCUCCUUUCAAGCUGUCUCUGGUCUUGUAAGGAGGGAGACUAUUUUUCUUCUUUGUUACCUGCUAUUGUUCCAUAGUGCUUGUAUCCCAUUGAAGGCAAUGUCGUCAUCUCCUUCUGCUGGAUGCCUUCAUGUUUUUUUCUUGUCCGUUAAACAAUUGAAGGCUCAGAAGGACCUGAAAUUGCAUUUUAGUUUCUCAUUUUUUGGCAGGCUCUUAAAUCUUUCCUUUAUAGGUGCUGGAAAACAUGAGAACCUCUUAUGGAAGUUAGCUAGUUGCAGUUUUGUUGAAAUCCAUAUAUAUGUGUGUGUGUGUAUAAAAAUAUGUGAGGUUUUUUUCCCCCUAUAUUCUGCAGCACAAAGUAAUUCAAGCAAUUUGAGAGGCUGAGAACAGUCAUAAGGUAGCUUUUCUCAUGUCUGCACAUCUAUUUGAUAUAGAGGUUAGACUAACAUGAAUUCUAAAUCUAUCAUCUUUCUUGUGUCCCAAGAAACUAGUGGAAACUCAAGACUUCAAAAUAAAAUUACUGUGUGUGUGA